rnacentral:misc_RNA from 1 species
GGCGAAUAAAGAGCUCUCAAGGCUGCCUGUUUCUGCUUUCAACCCACCUGAUAAACCCUACAACAUCAAGCCAUUCAUCACUCUAGGGUUUUGAGAUUUUCAAAUUCCGCUUAAUUAGAGAUGCAACUGACUCUUGAAUUCGGGGGAGGACUGGAACUUCUUUGCGAUUCUGUGAAGAGCCAUAACAUCAAUGUUGACCCUCAAGAUGGAGAGAAGCAGUUGACAAUGAAAAACUUGCUCUCUUGGGUACGCACCAAUGUGAUCAAGGAGAGGCCUGAAAUGUUC